CAGCAGAGAUUCUGAAAAAUAUAAAAGCUAAAACCCAAGCCAUCAAGGUGACUGACUUCUCAUAGACUUGGCUAUAUCUAGACGAUGUUGCAAGAUUUAUACUUUUGUCUCAUGUCAUAUGGAUAUUAGUUUAGCCUGUGGAAAUGUGUGAAUAUAACUUCAGGUUAUAUUUAAGGUUCUGCACCUUUCCACAGUGCCAGGUAUUUGGGACGUAUAGGUUUCAAAACCUUCUCAUGGUUUACACUGAGCAAUAGAUUUGUUCCUCUUCCUCUGUUCAUCUAGCUAUGCUGUGCUUUUAUGUGAGGCUUUGUGUUGCUCUUUUUUCAAUCCAAAUUUCAGGAGGAAACGACAUAUAUCAUCACUGUUUUGCCCUUAAUUUAGGAGCCUCUUCCCUCAGUCAACUGUAGGGAGCAUUGGUGCUAUGUAAUGCUGAUACAACUAAUCCCCACAGCUCUGGAGAAGGCAGGGAGGGAGGGAGCUGUGACACCAGGUAUGCACGGGAGCAAUUAAAGAUUUCAUCCAGAGAAGGGUGGGAGGCCUUUCUUCCACUUAUAUAACAAAUUAUAAUUUUUAACAGUUGACAGCCAUGCAUGGGUAGAAACUAUCCUGGUAUUGUGGCACAGGUGCCACAUAGCCUGCAAGGGUAUUUGAAGGCCAAGAGGUGAGAGAUCAGCUUACUGCUGUGGUGGAGAAGAAACUAGUUUAGGAAAUUAAUUCCAAAUGAGAACAAAAGAGAAGAGAUUAGUUUCACAUGAGAAGAGGUAAGUAGUGUUUUAAGAAAUACAUGCCCUUUCUCGGCAAAAUGUUGUGUCUUAACUGCUUUGCUGGGAAAAAACUGGUAUGAGUGCUGCCAGGCUGAUGGCUUUCCAAUGCAGUGUACCUCCUAAAAUGUUUUCAUUUCUUACAAUAAGAAAACAGAACUGUAAGCCAGUCAGGAGGGUUAGGCCUGCUCAAUAACAGGAGGAAGAAGAAGCCGUUUUCUUUGAACGUUUUGUGUUUCCCCGCUUGUCUCUCCUACCAGCUCUUGCUGAGAUUUAGCUUCAUUUUUUCAGGUGGUUUAGUGCUAUCUCCUUGGAUAGGAUGCUAAAUGAUUGUUCCCUGAAAAGUGGUGGAGGUGGGAUGUUUAUGUUGGCUAAAUCAGGCUCCCAUUUCAUAUUCCAGUAAGACAGACUUCUCAACCCUCCUGCAGUCCCUGGGAGAAGUGAGGUGCUGGAAGGGCUGUCUCAAGAGCUCCUGCCUUCUUGUGACGGGAUGUGAUCUCAAGACUGCAGUCCGACAGCCAGGAUUGCCACUGGCAACCAUGGUUACAUUUCCAUAUGCUUUUAAAGUGGCAAGAAGUCUUUGCUUUUCCUAAGCAUUUAGUGCUUUAUAAUGUUUAGAGACUGUGUAAAACUGAAAUACUACUAAUUUAUGUUUUCUAUAUCCCCCUCUCAGGAAGCAUCAGUGAGCAUAGGUCUAAAAUGAUUUUCCAAUAAAAGGUGACAGUUGUCAGAAGCAGUAUAAAACAGCUCUUCUCUGUGUGUCUGGCGAGGGCAAAUAGCCUCUAAAGCUUUUUCGGGGUUUGAUUUGUCCCAGGUCAGGACAUGUUUGGUAUAUGAACCUUUUAACUCUCCUUGCUUCACUCAGCUGCUACCAAAGACCACUGCUUUUCCAGGCACUGAAGCAGUGUCAUUCCUGAUCACUCCUACAAGGGCUCCUGUGGUGCAGUUAGCAAAUUCAGUAAAGCUUCUGUAAGUUGACUUAUUUCUCCAUGAUGGUUUCUGGUCCAGAAAUACAUAAAAACAAAAUAAUUCCUGGGUUCCUAAGUGAAUUUCCCAUUUAUUCACUUUUUCCCCCUCUAAUAUCCUCUUUGUGUUUAUGAAUGAAACAGAAUUAGGGCUAAUUUAGUUGAUUGGCUGCAAAACAAAAGUAUUCAAUGCUAAGAAUGGGAAAUGAGAAGGCCUUUCUGAAAUGUUACUUCUUUGCAUAAUUGUAAUAGAUUAUAAUUAUACAUUUGGGUGUUUAGCAGUGGAUUUGCAGUAAACACGGUCGUGGGAAAUCUCUCAUUGCUCACUUGUGUCGGUUCGAGUCCCAGUGCGGUCCUGCCGAUGACUGUACCAGCAUCUCUAACAUCGUUUUCUCUUCAGGCAGGAUGAUGUGCCACAGAGAAUGCAAUCUCCAGUUCCCUUCCCAGCUCCUCCUACAAAAUUACAGCUGGUCGAUAUGACCAUGUCAGACUGUUGACACAAAUCAAUAAGAUCAAUCAUUCUUCAGCUCCUAAACAAAAUUGAGAGCGUGAUGCUGACGGCCUGCACGUAGCAGUAAAUUCCUAAAGGAAAAUCGCAUACCACAGUGUUUGCUGAGGACAUCCAUGGGGGAUCCUGUCCCGUUAAUAAUUAGUUCUCUGAGGCUGUAAAAAGGAGCAUGGUAUAAAUAGUUUGCUAGAGCUGCAAUGUGUGUUAUGACCCCUACAGCUUUCAGGCUGGUGGAGAACAUCACCUGACCAACAGCAGUGUGGGAGACAGGGAGCAUGGCAGUGUUUGGGUAGGAAUCCUGUUUUUCUUCAUUCUCCUAGAAGAUCUUGACCUCUGAUACUGGUUUUUGCCUGGCGAAUAAUUGCAGACAUUUUAUCACAAUACUGGAAUUCCUGGUGCACUCAGGUAGUUCAGUGUGUUACUAUCAGAAAGCCCAUCAGAAUUGUAGUUUUUGUAGUAGUCAAGAAUAAAUUUAGAGGCUGCUUCUAAUAAUCAGAAUCUUUGUCUGAAGAGAAGGACAAAUUUUUGUUAUAAUGUCUGAGUUUAUAUCUCUGAAGGCUUGUUUUGGUAUGUCUGCUCAUAGACUCGAUCAGCUGCUUCAGGAAGAUAAACACAUGAAUGUUUAAUCUUAUGAGUUUGCCACCAACCAUUGUGCUGAGCGCGAGCAGAUUUUUCUUUUAAUUAAAUGUAAUUUAUCUGAUCCUAAUGGGAAACAUAAUUAUAGGAUUUAUUUUUUAAUACUGUGAUUUCAGAAUUAUUUUAUAAAGAAGAGUAACACUUCCCCCUUAAGGGCGGUUUAAAAAUCAGCAAACAAAAUAGAAAAAGCUAAAAUACACUUUGCUAAAAGUAAUAAAUCUCAGACAAGAUGCAGAAAAAAAAAAAGCAGCUGAUACGUUGGAGCUGCAAUAAAGCUGAAAAUUAAUGAUCAGUAGGUUGCUGCUGCAAGAGAGAGUGAAUGCAUUAUGGAUUUGAGGAGACGCCUAUAGCUUAUUAAAUACCAGCAAAUUUUUGCAUAAGCAGUAGAAAACCCUGAUCAGAAAUUGUAAAACGAUGUGAACUCCAGCUGGAAGAUCCAGUGCCACAAAGGACAUGUGCACCAUGUGUAUGGUUGAAACAUAAGAAAGUGCUUUGCCAGGAUCAUGGUCUAAAGUUGCAUGCUAAGCUCCUUUAGUUUCUGAUCGGAGGGAUUUAAAUGUUUCAAUAAGGCAUGACUAUAGUCGCAGGAAAGGAUUUAUCAUACUUUACAUAAGAAGGUGUGUGUGACUGUUUAAAAUAAUUUAAAACAAAUAACAUCCCUUCACCCUCCCACACUCCCUUAGACUUUUUUUUUUUUUCUCUAAACCCAAAAGCUAAGACUACUACUUGAAUUGUAAUGGAAUAAUAUAUCAAGUGAGUGAUCACAUCAGGCAUGGACACUUACCAAAUCACAGCGAGAUAACUGUGAAUAACUCUCUAGUUUCAACAAUUUGCAUGGCCAUUAACAAUUGAUGGGUUUCCCUUAGAACCGCAUUAUCUAUGGCAGCAGGAUCUAUUCCUGUGCACCGUUCCUGCAUACUAAGUGCCAGACAAAUUCUCAAAACUGAGGAUAAUAAAAAAUCUGAUAGCAGCAAGGUGAAUGAAGCAGGUAGGAAUUUCAAGGCGACAUUUUUGGAAGACAGGGAAAUAUUUCAGGCAGUCCUGCAUUUUCAUAACUGUUCUUCGUCCCCUUUCCCUGCCUACUUAUUUUGCUACAAUUCUGCAAGUUUAAUUCAGGCUGGUGUUAGGUUUCUCUUCACUGCUUGGCGUCACUUCAGAGUUGGUGGUCAGUCUGGCCUGUGGUUCAGUUAAAGCAAGAUUUUAAAAUACCUUUUGUUAAAUUUUGUGUUGGACAGUUGUGUUCAGAAGCUUUUAUGCAUAUUUAACAAAAGAUAAAAACGGUGCUGAAUUUAGCCAUCCUAGAUUGUUGGGUGGCUCUUUCAUGGGAGUGAUUUCAAGCAGGUGCCAAAAAUAUGCUUUCCUUAUUAGAAUCAUGCCACCAUUUUAAUAAGUGUGCGACACAUCCCUUAUUUCUAGUGCUUUCAUCUCUGCCUGACAGCAUGUCAGUUCUUUCCAGGUUCCUCUGCCAAGCUGACUUUUCCAGCCCCAAAUCUUUCUCUUUCUUUCUAUUUCUCUUUCUCACCCUCUUCCCUCUCCCCCCUUCUUCUCAUGGCGCUGUUGUUGUGGCAAGAUGAAAGCAGCUGAGUGAGGCAGUGGCGGGGAAGGCUCGGGUAAUCAAAGCACACAAGGAGCUGGAGCUGUGUGAAGGCAGGUGGGUGACACAUCAAAGUCAGGGUACGUGUGCUUGCUGCUCUCACCUCUCCUUGUAAAUGACCCCCCGGCCAUAAACAGAGUUCCUGGGGUUAAUUUGUGAGUUCACGCGCACACAAAUGCAAUUACUUUUCUACAGCCUUCCCAAAAUUUACUUGCAGAGACCAGUAAUAAAAUCUUAGCUUUGUUCCUUGGAAUAUGGCUUUUGCAGAUGUGGUGUGUAAGGAGACAAGUUGUUGAUAGCAGGAGGUGGUUGUUCACCUUCAGCAGAGGGUAGCCCAUCACCUCAUUGUCCCAUCUGCCUGUACGUGUUGUUUCAGGGUUGCUGUAGGCAGGAUGGGGGAGCUGCAAGGUCUGAGCAGCGUCUGGUUAUCCCCAGCUGGACCUUGCAUGGUCAGAAACCCUGAGAACAUGUUGUUAAGAGAUCUCUUGGCUGGGGCAGGCCAGCACCCCUCGCUCAGCCACACGUGGGUGCUGCUUCCUGAGCUCUGCACCCAGUGUGAAGGCUUCAGGUCCCCUGUUGUCCCCUCAGCUCAGUAGAAGCCCCAAACUCCCACUCAUCUCUAAACUCUGUGCAUGUCUCUUGACAUGGAGCUAACUGUGGGGCUGGCUAUUUUCUCAGCUGUUGCCUCUCCUCAGAUCCUCCUUUGUCUUUGCUGUGGAGCUCAGCAGCUGAGCACCCCAAGGUCUGGGUUGACUCUUGCUCUGUGUUUGUGCUGGGGGACCUGGUCCUUGUCUUAACUGUUUGUGCUGAAGGUGUCAAAAUUAUUGCACUCUGCCCCUGCCAUUUUUGACCGGACUCUUCCUCACUGCCUCCUGAUGCCUGUUUCAGUUACUGUUGCUGAGAACCAAAAUAACCACUUGUCUCUUGACUUUCUGUAUCACAACAUUUGUGAUUUGCAGUGACAACACGUUUUCAUCUUUUAUUAGCUAUUUCUGAUAGCCUAUAAUAAUAACCCUUUCUAGCAAAAGGUUUUUUUACUCUUUCAUUUUUAAUGAAAAUUCUUUAUGACAUAGGUCAUAAUAAAACAAUUCCCAGUGAAAUUAUGUGCGUUGUUUGGGUCUAAAAGUGGUGAUUGAAGAAUUUAGAGAUAGUGGUAUGAUCCCUGGGUGCCCUGUUGGUGUACUUACUGGUUAUAGCAAUAGUUCUUACUUUAACUUUGGUCUCAGGGUAACCGUGCUCCACAAUAAUCAAUGCACUGAUGACUGUAAUUGCAGCUUGUGGUACUGUGGUCUUAAAAUUAACUGACUGGGACAAUAAAGUUUGGAAUUUAAUGAAUAUUUGUAAACAAACUUGAUUAGGAAGUAGGUUGAGGAUAUGCACUGGUGGAGGAUAAUAGAAGAGACCCAUCCUCAUCUUUGAUAAAUAGAACAGAUGGAAACCUGAAAAUGAACAGCAAAACAUGGAAACCAUCCCACUGCUAUUUACCUUGCAUUUAUUGCUGCGCCAUGUCUUAAAAAUCUUUCCUUUAAAAAAAAAAAAAAAAGGAAUUUGGCUCCCUGCUGCAAUGAGAUCCUGUGUAUGCAAUUUCAAUCUCUUCUGCAGAACUUUAUUAUCAGACACGAUGUUGCAAACUGGGUUUACAAUCCAGGGCUGGUAUCAACCUUAAGUAAAGAAGUGUCUAUUGUCACCCCAUGAUUGAAUCAUAAUGCAAUUAAAAUGAAAAAGGAAACCACCAUUGAAAAUGGGAAAUAGAUUUCAUAGUGAUGCCUCUGGGGAGGUGGAUGGCUGACAUCUGGUAGUUACUGAAAGUUGGCUGUGUUCUACUGUCCUUCAGGAACUGCAUCCCAUUUUUGCUUGUUAUAGGUCAUGCUUUGUGUGCUUCCUUCUGCUUGUGUCCACAUGUUUCAGAUGCAUGUCCUUCAUCUCAGGUACAGAGGCCUGUCCUGCCCCCUGUGUCAGGCCAUUUGGGAGUGUUUUGUAUGAGUCUGGAAAGUUAACAGUAUGAGAGUACAUCAGGCUUUGGAUGGUUGUUUUAAGAUGGCCAGAAAUCCCUUUACACCUCCUUGCUUUCUCUCUUCUCUUUCUCCAUCUUUAUUCCAUAUUUAAGAAUUGGACUUUUAUUUACAGGUUUUCCUGGCUGAGUACAUGGGUGUCUCUCUAACAAAAGUAGCAUUAAAUCCUACUUACCUCACCUCUCCUUUUGGUUUUUUUUUUUUUUUUUUUUGAGCUUUGGUUACCUGCAAAGUUUGGCAUUAAUGGAAAUGCAUGAAAGGGAAGUGUGUAAGGAGCCUUGCUCAGAGAGCUCCUGCCCUAAGCAAUAGACUGGUGAGUGGCUGCUCCUGCUGCAGGAACUUGGAGGGGAGGGGAUCUUCCAGCAGCUACAGUUCACCCGUUUGCUUCCUACCUGCUGGUUUCCAACAGUAUUAAUUUUUAUGCAUUUAUUGUAUUUAAUUAAAAGCAGGGCUGCUUACAGCAAUGCUUGCGGAGAUUCCACUUCUCCCCCAAAUGCAACAAAUAGGCAUCUGGUAUUUGUUUGGUAUAACACAAUCCUCAUAAAAUGAAAGCUAAUAAAACAUAAUUAUCUGUAAAGGCUUGUUUUGUAAGCCUAGGAAUGAGUUUGUUCCUGCAUUGUUUUUGUCUAGUUGUAAGAUGGUUUUAGCCCCUCUCCACAUUAACAGAGAUUCAGUUAUUAUAGCGUUUUAAACCCUGGUUUAAAAGCUAGGAGGUGGUGUGAAUGCAUGCACAGGGUAGCAUGGAUCUCUAGAGGUGAGAAUAGUCUUUCUGUUCCUUUUAGAAGUUUUUCCCUUACAAACAAUGGGUUUUAUUUGGAAUCUUUGGUCAAGUAAGAGGGAAGGAAAUCUGUGACUACACAAACAAUUCUGUGUUUCUGAGCUGUUGGCCUUGAAGUUGGAUUUGAGCCCUUUCUGCAUACUGCUCAUCCUUGGCAGUGUGCAAAGUGUCAUGGGUCCACGCUCAUGCUUGGAUGUAUGUAGGAUUCCUUGAUUUGGCCCUCACUGCAUUACUGAACAGACUUUAACUGCUAUGUAUCUUCAUUUCUCAGAGCAUUGCUGGCUUGAUCUACCUCCAGCAGUCGUCAGGAGUCCCAGCACAGGAUUCAGCAGUUUUGAAGAGCUAAUUAUACUCAUUUCACCUUAGAUUUGCUGCUUGCUAUUUGUUUGUUGGCAUCUAUGUCAUUUUGCUUGCCUUUGGUUUGCUGUAACCCUGCAAAGCCCUGCCUGCCACCACAUGCUAGAAGUAUUUUUUUUUGGGAAAAAGUGAAACCAGAUCAUCUAAACCAAUUAGAUGGUAUGGUGAGACACGUGAGUGGUUUAUGACUGUCUAAAGAUGAAGUGUGAAAAUCAAAUCCUUUUAAAAAACUCACAGUCCAAACGUACUACUUUUUUUAUUUUUCCUUUCAAAUAGUAGUAAGCAAGAAUCCACUUUUUUGUAAUGAAAGCUGGAAGCUGUGGGGCUGCAACACACCUUCAACUUCAGCAUGCUUUAGAAUAAAUUUGCUUCAAUCCUGUUCUUCUGUGCACAAUUAAUUAAAGUGACAGAAGAGAGCUUUGCUCAGCUUUUAGGUGAAUUGUAGCCUUCUCAAAACCAGAUAUGGCUUAGGUAUUGCUUUCUCUUUGCAAGACAAACCUUGCAAUUUUGAAUCUUGAUGAGUGGCUGCAUUUGUUCUGCAAGUCUCAGAAACAAUGGGGUUGGGAGUACAUAACAAAUUGCCAAAUGAUAGCACUUUGGAGAGAAGAAUCUUCUUCAAGCACCUCAUUCUCUGCAACUUUAGUUUUGCAGAGGCUGCCUUGUUGCAGCCCCAGUUGUAGAGACCCACUGUUGGGGCAAGGAGAUGCUCCAUGGCAAGUCCUGCUUUCUGGGCAGCAGCAGUGCCUGGGCAUGGCUGUGUGCUGAGCUGCUGCUGCCCUGUAUUGAAGCAAUUUCCUUGAAAUACAUCUUCCUUGAAAUAUGCUUUUUAUUCAUCAUAUCUGAGGAUACUGGUGUAAUCAGCUCAUUGCUGACUUCAGUUGUUUAACAGCACUGUUGUGGCUGCUCUGAGUCCUCAGCCAGAGCAGGGCCGGCAGCAGCAGGGGAGGUGUUAGGAGGCACCCGACUGCCUUAUAUGAUGUUGCUUUCUAUGGCCAGAAGCCUUUGAUCUAUUCAAACAGAAGCCUGAGAAGUGGGGGAUGGAUUCCACAUCGCAGGCUGAUGUGUAAAUGCAUCCUUUUGCACCAAAGUCUCAUUUAACCUAAGAGCUAAAUGUGCCAUGUCUGUCAGAAGCUGCAGAGUCCAGCUAAAAGUCAAAUGGUCUGAGAUGUUUGUCAUCCCCACCCAGUAUAUAAUGUUCCAUUUACUUUUUCAUGCAAGGUCUGGAAUUCAGCUGUUGUAUUGUUUAUCUAGGAUAUUGGUCCACGUAGAUGUACAGCAGGGAGAUACCUCCCUGGAAGGUUUACUGGUUCUUAAUUCAUUAAUGUCUCCAGAAUGUUCUGAGACCAGUGUUGCUUUGCAUUCACAGCCACAGAAUUGAAUUUAAAAGUUUGGGUGGCUUCUGAUUAUGACUUCUUAUUUCUCAGGAAUAAUUGGGUUUCGCUUUACCAGUGCAAAUAAAGUGAACCCUUUAGCUUCAGUCCUGCUAUCAGUGUGGCAUGGACUCAUUUGUUCUCUUACCCAUUGUGUGCAGAGUGAUUGCUUUUGGCACAUCUUCUUUUAAAUACAACAUAAAGUGAAAUCCUGUUAUUUGCACACAUCCUGUGGCAUGCAUCUUCAAAGUAUCUAGGCAACCUUUAUGUAGAUGACACUUUUAACUCAAACUUUUCCAUCAUUAUGAGUGUGGUCCUGCGAAAAGAAGCAGGAUGAAAAAGGGAGGGAAGAAAGGGCUGGCUUGAACUCACUUAGGGCAGCUUGAGUCACUUGUAAGACUCUUUGUAGGAAGUAUGACACACACUGAAGAUCUCUGCUCUCUUACGCUUAAAACAUCAACUUCAAACUAUUCCAUGCUUUUCCUUUGAGCUUGGGCAGGCAGGGGAUCUCCUGGCUCUGCUGGAGCUGAUAGUAGAUCUGUCAGGAAAGGGGGAUUUCAGCACUUCUGCGAUCCCGCAGUCCAAGUAGUGGACUUGAUUGUGUGGUUCUCGGCUCCAGGCACAGGAGGAUGAGUGGUCCAAAAUGUCUGCUGCUGUAGCCCUGGGACAUUUGUGUGUUCUGACAGCUUUUGAGUUCAGCUUCUCCGAAAACAAGAGCUGAAUGGAAGACUUGAAAGCCUUAAGGAGAUGCCACCAUUGCAACCCCUACAAGGAAGAUUUUUUGAAUAAAAGUGUGUCCGUGGGGUCAGGUGUGGCCAUGACCUAUCAAUGGUGCAGAUGGAGCAGGCAUCACUACUGCAGCAGUAUGACCUCCACUUGGGAAUUGGUCUCCAAAGCCAAGGUCACUGAGAUAGGCUGCACAAGGAAUGUUGUAUCUCCAGACUUUGUAUCAGCAUGGAUGUCAUCUCUUAGAGCAGUUCUGCUUUAGCUAGAUCGAGCAAGCAUCCUCCAGGCAGGAAGCGAGGCCAGUGCCAUGUGCUGUGCUUGCUUUGGCAGAAAUAGGAGUGGUGUCCUCAUGCUUGAUGCUUACCAUAUUGGGGCUGUGGGUGAUCAGCAUGGUGCAUGUUGGUAUUAAGGAACAUGGUGGUGGUGUAGGUCAGUGUACACAACAAAACAAUCACAAUUCCCCCCUCCCCAUCAACAAACAGCAUACACAAAUCUCACUUUGCUGCCCUAGCCUGGUGCUGGAGAACAUGAUACGUUCCCUAUCCAACUCUUAAGAGGNUGAGGGUGUUUGGAAGACUGAUCCCAGAAGCCUGAGACUGUGGUUUGGAGAGAUAAAAGGUUGUGUGUACGUGAUUUACAUUCACUGAGAGGUGAUUCCUUUGUGCUCUCAUUGCAUUCAGGGUAUCAGCCCAAAAACAAGUGACCCUGACAGCAUUUUUUCACAUGUAGUUGUGUUGGCCCAGAGGAGCAGGCUGAAGGGAAGGGUUGGGAGGCACUGUAUGCCAUAGUUGCCCCAGGGGCUGGGUUUUAGGAGGUGGCAGCCCCAAACAGCUUUCCCUGGAAGCUGAUGCAGAACAGAAAAUGAAGCUCAGGUUUCUCAAGACUCCUGUUGCCAGAUCCCCUUCUGCAUCCCCUCUGGUCUUUAUCCAUAGCUGUGCCUGAGUGCCUAGCAACAGUAGGACAGUGAGUGUAGCUGUAUUUUAGGGAAUGCUAAAAGGGAAAAGUUGGGAAUGGUCUGGGCCAAAUAUUUAAAGCAUGGGGAGAAAAGGUCCAGACUUUUGUGUUUGAAUACUUAGGAUAGUAAGUGAAAGCUUGCUGUUGCAAGGUAAGGCAACUGUGUUCGUAGCCAGAGGUUGGAUUUGGGGUUUUU